ensembl:snoRNA
GGAUUUACGGUUUGGAUUUAUGGCAGGCCCGUGCCCCUGGAUCUCUCAUAGUGUCCUAUGCCAGAGCAAACUGUGGCCCCAAACCAUUGCCUGGCCUCUGCCUGUAGGCUGCUGGCACUGAAGAGGGUUUCACAGUG